rnacentral:rRNA from 1 species
UACAGAGGGUGCGAGCGUUAAUCGGAGUUACUGGGCGUAAAGGGUGCGUAGGCGGUUGAGUGAGUGUGAUGUGAAAGCCCCGGGCUUAACCUGGGAAGUGCAUCGCAAACGACUCAACUGGAGUAGAUGAGAGGGUGAUGGAAUUUCCGGUGUAGCGGUGAAAUGCGUAGAGAUCGGAAGGAACGUCGAUGGCGAAGGCAGUCACCUGGCAUCAUACUGACGCUGAGGCACGAAAGCGUGGGGAGCGAACAGGAUUAGAUACCCUGGUAGUCCACGCUGUAAACGAUGAUGACUAGAUGUUGGUAGGGGAACCUAUCGGUAUCGAAGCUAACGCGAUAAGUCAUCCGCCUGGGAAGUACGGCCGCAAGGUUGAA